UACGUAGGGUGCGAGCGUUGUCCGGAAUUAUUGGGCGUAAAGAGCUCGUAGGCGGUUCAGUCAGUUGGGUGUGAAAACUCCGGGCUUAACUCGGAGGGGCCACCCAAUACUGCUGUGACUUGAGUCCGGUAGGGGAGUGGGGAAUUCCUGGUGUAGCGGUGAAAUGCGCAGAUAUCAGGAGGAACACCGGUGGCGAAGGCGCCACUCUGGGCCGGUACUGACGCUGAGGAGCGAAAGCGUGGGGAGCAAACAGG
rnacentral:rRNA from 1 species